rnacentral:tRNA from 1 species
GGGUCGUUAGCUCAGUUGGUAGAGCAGUUGACUUUUAAUCAAUUGGUCGCAGGUUCNNUGAACGUGAAGGAUAACGUUGCGUCAGCAACGGCCCGAAGGGCGAGGCGAAGCCGAGUCAUCCUGCACGACCCACCA